rnacentral:rRNA from 1 species
AAGGUUUCCGUAGGUGAACCUGCGGAAGGAUCAUUACAAGUGAGGCUACCGAACGUUGGAAACAGCGGUUAGGAGCUUACACCCACCCGUGUUUACAUACUAUUGUUGCUUUGGCGGGCCGUGGCCUCCACUGCGGGCUCUGCUCGUGUGUGCCCGCCAGAGGACCAAACUCUGAAUGUUAGUGAUGUCUGAGUACUAUCUAAUAGUUAAAACUUUCAACAACGGAUCUCUUGGUUCUGGCAUCGAUGAAGAACGCAGCGAAAUGCGAUAAGUAAUGUGAAUUGCAGAAUUCAGUGAAUCAUCGAAUCUUUGAACGCACAUUGCGCCCUGUGGUAUUCCGCAGGGCAUGCCUGUUCGAGCGUCAUUUAACCACUCACGCCUAGCGUGGUGUUGGGGCACGCGGUCUCGCGGCCCUCAAAAUUAGUGGCGGCGCCGGUGGGCUCUAAGCGUAGUACAUACUCCCGCUAUAGAGUUCCCCCGGUGGCUCGCCAGAACCCCCAAUUUUUUACAGGUUGACCUCGGAUCAGGUAGGGAUACCCGCUGAACUUAAGCAUAUCAAUAAGCGGAGGAAA